UACGAAGGGGGCUAGCGUUGUUCGGAAUUACUGGGCGUAAAGCGUAUGCAGGCGGAUCGUUAAGUCGGGGGUGAAAUCCCGAGGCUCAACCUCGGAACUGCCUUCGAUACUGGCGAUCUUGAGUCCGGGAGAGGUGAGUGGAACUCCGAGUGUAGAGGUGAAAUUCGUAGAUAUUCGGAAGAACACCAGUGGCGAAGGCGGCUCACUGGCCCGGUACUGACGCUGAGACGCGAAAGCGUGGGGAGCGAACAGG
rnacentral:rRNA from 1 species